rnacentral:rRNA from 1 species
UCGGGAAUUUUGGGCAAUGGGCGAAAGCCUGACCCAGCAACGCCGCGUGAAGGAUGAAGUAUUUCGGUAUGUAAACUUCGAAAGAAUAGGAGGAAUAAAUGACGGUACUAUUUAUAAGGUCCGGCUAACUACGUGCCAGCAGCCGCGGUAAUACGUAGGGACCAAGCGUUGUUCGGAUUUACUGGGCGUAAAGGGCGCGUAGGCGGCAAUUCAAGUCAUCUGUGAAAUCUCCGGGCUUAACUCGGAACGGUCAGAUGAUACUGCUUUGCUAGAGUGCAGAAGGGGCAAUCGGAAUUCUUGGUGUAGCGGUGAAAUGCGUAGAUAUCAAGAGGAACACCUGAGGUGAAGACGGGUUGCUGGGCUGACACUGACGCUGAGGCGCGAAAGCCAGGGGAGCAAACGGGAUUAGAUACCCAGGUAGUCCCUGAGCGGGCUGGCAAGGCGCAU